rnacentral:rRNA from 1 species
UUCUGUAAGCCUGCGAAGGUGUGCUGUGAGGCAUGCUGGAGGUAUCAGAAGUGCGAAUGCUGACAUAAGUAACGAUAAAGCGGGUGAAAAGCCCGCUCGCCGGAAGACCAAGGGUUCCUGUCCAACGUUAAUCGGGGCAGGGUGAGUCGACCCCUAAGGCGAGGCCGAAAGGCGUAGUCGAUGGGAAACAGGUUAAUAUUCCUGUACUUGGUGUUACUGCGAAGGGGGGACGGAGAAGGCUAUGUUGGCCGGGCGACGGUUGUCCCGGUUUAAGCGUGUAGGCUGGUUUUCCAGGCAAAUCCGGAAAAUCAAGGCUGAGGCGUGAUGACGAGGCACUGCGGUGCUGAAGCAACAAAUGCCCUGCUUCCAGGAAAAGCCUCUAAGCAUCAGGUAACAUCAAAUCGUACCCCAAACCGACACAGGUGGUCAGGUAGAGAAUACCAAGGCGCUUGAGAGAACUCGGGUGAAGGAACUAGGCAAAAUGGUGCCGUAACUUCGGGAGAAGGCACGCUGAUAUGUAGGUGAAGUCCCUCGCGGAUGGAGCUGAAAUCAGUCGAAGAUACCAGCUGGCUGCAACUGUUUAUUAAAAACACAGCACUGUGCAAACACGAAAGUGGACGUAUACGGUGUGACGCCUGCCCGGUGCCGGAAGGUUAAUUGAUGGGGUUAGCGCAAGCGAAGCUCUUGAUCGAAGCCCCGGUAAACGGCGGCCGUAACUAUAACGGUCCUAAGGUAGCGAAAUUCCUUGUCGGGUAAGUUCCGACCUGCACGAAUGGCGUAAUGAUGGCCAGGCUGUCUCCACCCGAGACUCAGUGAAAUUGAACUCGCUGUGAAGAUGCAGUGUACCCGCGGCAAGACGGAAAGACCCCGUGAACCUUUACUAUAGCUUGACACUGAACAUUGAGCCUUGAUGUGUAGGAUAGGUGGGAGGCUUUGAAGUGUGGACGCCAGUCUGCAUGGAGCCGACCUUGAAAUACCACCCUUUAAUGUUUGAUGUUCUAACGUUGACCCGUAAUCCGGGUUGCGGACAGUGUCUGGUGGGUAGUUUGACUGGGGCGGUCUCCUCCUAAAGAGUAACGGAGGAGCACGAAGGUUGGCUAAUCCUGGUCGGACAUCAGGAGGUUAGUGCAAUGGCAUAAGCCAGCUUGACUGCGAGCGUGACGGCGCGAGCAGGUGCGAAAGCAGGUCAUAGUGAUCCGGUGGUUCUGAAUGGAAGGGCCAUCGCUCAACGGAUAAAAGGUACUCCGGGGAUAACAGGCUGAUACCGCCCAAGAGUUCAUAUCGACGGCGGUGUUUGGCACCUCGAUGUCGGCUCAUCACAUCCUGGGGCUGAAGUAGGUCCCAAGGGUAUGGCUGUUCGCCAUUUAAAGUGGUACGCGAGCUGGGUUUAGAACGUCGUGAGACAGUUCGGUCCCUAUCUGCCGUGGGCGCUGGAGAACUGAGGGGGGCUGCUCCUAGUACGAGAGGACCGGAGUGGACGCAUCACUGGUGUUCGGGUUGUCAUGCCAAUGGCACUGCCCGGUAGCUAAAUGCGGAAGAGAUAAGUGCUGAAAGCAUCUAAGCACGAAACUUGCCCCGAGAUGAGUUCUCCCUGACUCCUUGAGAGUCCUGAAGGAACGUUGAAGACGACGACGUUGAUAGGCCGGGUGUGUAAGCGCAGCGAUGCGUUGAGCUAACCGGUACUAAUGAACCGUGAGG